rnacentral:rRNA from 1 species
CUCCAGACUCCUACGGGAGGCAGCAGUGAGGAAUAUUGGUCAAUGGUCGGGAGACUGAACCAGCCAAGCCGCGUGAGGGAUGAAGGUACAGAGUAUCGUAAACCUCUUUUGUCAGGGAGCAACGCCGGCUACGUGUAGCCGGACUGAGAGUACCUGAAGAAAAAGCAUCGGCUAACUCCGUGCCAGCAGCCGCGGUAAUACGGAGGAUGCGAGCGUUAUCCGGAUUUAUUGGGUUUAAAGGGUGCGUAGGCGGAAUGCCAAGUCAGCGGUGAAAUACCGGGGCUCAACCCCGGGGCUGCCGUUGAAACCGGAGCGCUAGAAUUCCGAUGCCGUCGGAGGAAUGUGUGGUGUAGCGGUGAAAUGCAUAGAUAUCACACAGAACACCGAUUGCGAAGGCAUCUGACGAAUCGGAGAUUGACGCUGAUGCACGAAAGCGUGGGUAUCGAACAGGAUUAGAUACCCCCGUAC